GACGAACGCUGGCGGCGUGCUUAACACAUGCAAGUCGAGCGGUAAGGCCCUUUCGGGGGUACACGAGCGGCGAACGGGUGAGUAACACGUGGGUGACCUGCCCUCAGCUCUGGGAUAAGCCCGGGAAACUGGGUCUAAUACCGGAUAUGACUCCAUGACGCAUGUUGUGGGGUGGAAAGCCUUGUGCGGCUGAGGAUGGGCCCGCGGCCUAUCAGCUUGUUGGUGGGGUGAUGGCCACCAAGGCGACGACGGGUAGCCGGCCUGAGAGGGCGACCGGCCACACUGGGACUGAGAUACGGCCCAGACUCCUACGGGAGGCAGCAGUGGGGAAUCUUGCGCAAUGGGCGAAAGCCUGACGCAGCGACGCCGCGUGAGGGAUGACGGCCUCGGUCGUAA
rnacentral:rRNA from 1 species